rnacentral:tRNA from 1 species
ACCUGGGUGGCUCAGUCGGUUGAGCGUCUGACUUCGGCUCAGGUCAUAAUCUCACCUGAGUUUGUGAGUUCGAGCCCCACAUCGGGCU